rnacentral:rRNA from 1 species
AUGGCCUCGGCGACUCCGGCAGGCGGCGAGGACCGGGGCGAUGCGAGCGGCGGCAACCUCCCCCGCUUAGGCCUCGAUGGCAGUGGCGGCUACUCCAGCUCGGAGUACAGUAGCGAGGACGAAGAUUUUGCAGAGCCGGCGUUGUCGAUGGAGCAGAGGCUGCGGAUGGCGCGAAUUUGGGUGGCCAACCCUAGCACCUCCCAUCACUGGACUCAUGGCUUCGGUGGUGUUCUUUUGUAUGAUGACAUUUUGGAUGUUAGGUUCCAUUUUGAUGCUUCAGAAAUGUUUGAGUUGAAGCUUUGCAAUUUAGGGGAGAAAGGAUUGGAGAUGGUAGAGAGUAAUGCUGAGUUGCAAUUAGUAAAGAGGCAUGUUGAGGAGUGUAAGGUUAUAAAUUUGCUAGUGAGGGCAUGUCCACCUCCUUGCAGCCAGUUUGAGAGGCAAGAAUUAUCCACUGUUGUGUAUGAAGAGCCUGUGUUAUAUGAUCUCAGUGAGCCACCCAUCUAUGUUGUUGAUGAAGAAGGAGUUGCCUUUCAAAGUCAGAGUAGCAGCUGCAGUGUAGCUCAUGGUACUGGUGUUUGCACACAAGAGAGCAAGAAUGUAAAAGGAAAACUGAAAGCUGUUUUGGAAAUAGAAGAAGAAGAGGGAUAUGAUGGCAGUGGUGGUUCUGGUUGUGAAGGUGAAGAUGACAGUGAUGUAAACCCUUUUUAUAUGGGUGAUGCUGAUGACAUAGAGAUGAAUGAGGGAAAGAAACAGAGAGAGUAUGAUGAAAUAGAAGAGGAAGAAACAAAUGAUGAAGAAUCUGAGGAGGAAGAAGUGGUGCAUUAUGAGGGUGACACAGAGGUUGAGGAACCUUUUCAAAUGGAUAAAGAUGACAAAGUUGUUUCACAGGAUGAAGAAACCGUAAUUGUACAUGAAGAGAAGAAGAAGAAGAAACAGAAGCUUCUAGUUAGGAAAGGGCCUACAACAAGGACACAUUCAAGUGUAGUUCAAGAGGAGGAACCUGAUUUCAAACCUUCAUCCGAUGAAGAAGAGAAAAGACUGUUGAAGGAGGCUGAUGAUGAUGGUUUUGAGCCAUUGUCAUUUGUGCUGCCAAAGAAAAGGAAGAGCAGGGCAAAGCAGAGGCCUCCUAGAAAAUGAGAGGCUUUGUUGAACUUACACAUCACUCAAGGCAGAAACUUCAAAUAUCAUAGGAACUCAGAUCAAAGAAUAAUUGUAGAAUGCAACCAAAAACAUUGCAACUUCUUUAUGGUGGCAGCAGUUAUAAAAGGUGAAACUACUUUUACUUUGAUUGAUGCCUGCAUGGAGAAGUAUGGUGUGGAUGUGCCCAAGUCAAUGUUAUAUAGGGCAAAGAACCUAGCUAUUGAUGUUGUGCUAGGAGACCACAAGAAGCAAUACCCUAGGUUGAAAGACUAUGCUCAGACAAUGAUGGAUACAAACCCUGGGAGUAGAGUAGUAGUCACUACUGUAACUCCAACACCCACUGAAAAAAUCCCCCAUCCAGGUCCAAGAUUCCAUGCUAUGUUCUAUUGCAUCAAUGGAGCAAGGGAGGGGUUUCUCAAGGGGUGCAGACCAUUCAUUGAUGUUGAUGGGUGCUUCAUUAAGUUAACUACUGGGGCUCAACUACUUGCUGCCACUGGUAAAGAUGGCAACAACAAUAUAUACCCACUAGCAUUUGGUAUUGUUGGGCAAGAGGACACACCUAACUGGUGUUGGUUUCUACACCAACUUAAAAUCUGCCUAGGAAGAGAAGAGGGACAGUUUGGUACAUAUACAAUAAUGUCAGAUAGACAAAAGGGCCUACUAAAUGCAGUGAAUGUUGUCUUUCCUAAGUGCAACCAAAGGUUCCGCCUUAGGCAUAUCUAUGCAAACUUCCAAAAUGAUGGGUUUAGGGGGGAAGAUCUUAAGAAGUGUAUGGAUAAUGCUGCCUAUGCAUAUAGUGAACACAAAUUUAACAUUGCAAUGAAUGACCUUAGAGCUGAAUGCGAGGAAGCUUGGGAGUGGCUUUGUCAAAUACCCAAGAAAACAUGGGCAAGGAAUGCAUUUGACACAAACUGCAAGACUGACCUUGUAGUUAACAAUUUGUCUGAGGUGUUCAACAAGUACGUCCUAGAUGUUAGGAAGAAACCAAUUAGGACAAUGUGUGAUGGAAUAAAGGAUAAGCAGAUGAUGAGGUGGCAUAGGAAUAGGGAGAGUGGAAAGAAAGCUAGAUGGGACAUAACACCCCAUUAUAGUGAGAAGCUAGAGGUUGAGAAGGAGAGGGACAAAUAUUGCAAACCAAUUCAAGCUGGUGUGGACUUGUGGCAAGUUACAAGUGGGCAGCAAACCCAUGUUGUUAACUUGCAAGUGCACACAUGUGGGUGCAGAAAAUGGGACCUUAGUGGCAUCCCAUGUAACCAUGUCAUCUCAGCAAUAAAUAAGGGCAAAAGAAAACCAGAGGAUUAUGUCAGCAAGUUCUUCAAGAAAGAAUUUUAUGUGGCAGCUUAUGAACCAAUGAUCUAUCCAGUUCCUGGUGAGCAUGACUGGACAAGGACUCCUGGUCCAGACAUUGACCCACCUGCAUUUAAAGUGAAGAGAGGAAGAAAGAAAGAGAAGAGGAUCAAGGGGAGAUUUGAAGUUCCAAAGCCUAAGGACACAUCAAGAAUGGGGACUAUAACAUGUGGCAAUUGUGGACUACAAGGACAUAGGUACACAAGCUGCAUCAAGCAGUUGAAGCCUGAGUUGGCUUUGAGGAAGAACAAACAUGUGCCUCUUGCAAGGAAUUCCAAUGCUGGUGCUGCUGCUACUACACCAGCUCCUACAAGAACUUCUCAUCCAGCUCCUACAACAACACCAACAGCUGGAACAGGAGGUGCUGGGAGAGGAGCUGGGAGAGGUGCUGCAGAUGCAACUGCUGGGAGAGGUGCUGCAGCUGCAGCUGCUGGGAGAGGUGCUGGGAGAGGUUCUAGUAGAGGUGCUGCACCAGGUGUUGGGAGAGGUGUUGCACCAGGUGCUAGGAGAGGUGCUGGUAGAGGUGAUGCACCAGGUGCUGGGAGAGGUGCUCGGAGAGGGAGAGGUACAUUCUCUGCCCCCAAGGCAAUAUGGUCCCUCCACGUCUACUGCUCCCUCCACAUCUACUGCUGGGAGAGGUACUGGUGGUAG